ACUCCUUCCCAUCCCGAACAGGACAGUGAAACACCUCCGCGCCGAUGAUAGUGCGGGUUCCCGUGUGAAAGUAGGUCAUCGUCAGGC
rnacentral:rRNA from 1 species